rnacentral:rRNA from 2 species
AUUGAAAGCUUGCUUUCGAUGGGCGUCGACCGGCGCACGGGUGAGUAACGCGUAUCCAACCUGCCCAUCACUUGGGGAUAACCUUGCGAAAGUAAGACUAAUACCCAAUGACGUCUCUAGAAGACAUCUGAAAGAGAUUAAAGAUUUAUCGGUGAUGGAUGGGGAUGCGUCUGAUUAGCUUGUUGGCGGGGUAACGGCCCACCAAGGCUACGAUCAGUAGGGGUUCUGAGAGGAAGGUCCCCCACAUUGGAACUGAGACACGGUCCAAACUCCUACGGGAGGCAGCAGUGAGGAAUAUUGGUCAAUGGACGAGAGUCUGAACCAGCCAAGUAGCGUGCAGGAUGACGGCCCUAUGGGUUGUAGACUGCUUUUAUAAGGGAAUAAAGUGAGUCUCGUGAGACUUUUUGCAUGUACCUUAUGAAUAAGGACCGGCUAAUUCCGUGCCAGCAGCCGCGGUAAUACGGAAGGUCCGGGCGUUAUCCGGAUUUAUUGGGUUUAAAGGGAGCGUAGGCCGGAGAUUAAGCGUGUUGUGAAAUGUAGAUGCUCAACAUUUGCACUGCAGCGCGAACUGGUUUCCUUGAGUACGCACAAAGUGGGCGGAAUUCGUGGUGUAGCGGUGAAAUGCUUAGAUAUCACGAAGAACUCCGAUUGCGAAGGCAGCUCACUGGAGCGCAACUGACGCUGAAGCUCGAAAGUGCGGGUAUCGAACAGGAUUAGAUACCCUGGUAGUCCGCACGGUAAACGAUGGAUGCCCGCUGUUGGUCUGAAUAGGUCAGCGGCCAAGCGAAAGCAUUAAGCAUCCCACCUGGGGAGUACGCCGGCAACGGUGCAAACUCAAAAUGAAUUGACGGA